rnacentral:rRNA from 1 species
GCGUAAAGCGCACGCACGGCGGUCUGUCAAGUCGGAUGUGAAAUCCCCGGGCUCAACCUGGGAACUGCAUUCGAAACUGGCAGGCUAGAGUCUUGUAGAGGGGGGUAGAAUUCCAGGUGUAGCGGUGAAAUGCGUAGAGAUCUGGAGGAAUACCGGUGGCGAAGGCGGCCCCCUGGACAAAGACUGACGCUCAGGUGCGAAAGCGUGGGGAGCAAACAGGAUUAGAUACCCUGGUAGUCCACGCCGUAAACGAUGUCGACUUGGAGGUUGUGCCCUUGAGGCGUGGCUUCCGGAGCUAACGCGUUAAGUCGACCGCCUGGGGAGUACGGCCGCAAGGUUAAAACUCAAAUGAAUUGACGGGGGCCCGCACAAGCGGUGGAGCAUGUGGUUUAAUUCGAUGCAACGCGAAGAACCUUACCUACUCUUGACAUCCAGAGAACUUAGCAGAGAUGCAUAGGUGCCUUCGGGAACUCUGAGACAGGUGCUGCAUGGCUGUCGUCAGCUCG